rnacentral:lncRNA from 1 species
UCUUGAGAGGAUUUGUUUUGGUCACAGCAGCAGCGGUCGGCUCAGCGGAGUAUUUCCUGGUAGAAAACUUUUUAAAGAGAUGUAUUUUCGUAAUGAAUAGUGAGGACAUGAUUGCAGCCUUAUAAGAUAUAGAUGAUCUGCUGUGAAAUGUUAUCAAUGAUUCUUUAAUGAACUGUUGUGACCGCAACUUAUUGUAGAUUGUGGACUUCAGAGGCAAACCACAUUGAUGAUGAUAUUAAGAAGAUGGUAGUGUGGCGCCGCAUAAAGAAUGGCAUGUCUGUGAUUUUGCUGUUAGCAUUUAUUUUCUAUAUUGGUUAUUGUACAAAAGAACUGUACACUCGCAUAUUAAACAACCGUAAAUACAAUCGCCUCAUAGAGUAUGAAAAGGAGAUUGAUGCCCUCACCAACAUGCUGGGGGAUUAUAAGAAAGACGCCAACAAAGUGCAGAGAAGCCUCCAGCUCUUACGUGAGGCUCUUGAUCAGGUGGUUGUGAACAGACGACCAAAGAGUAUUAGUGAUAGAUGAUGUCUGUUGAUGAACCCAAAAGAUGUUACCUGAAGAUCUGCUUAAUAGGGACAAUAUUUUUAGGUUUAGUAUGAGGUUCUCAUAAGCCCAAUAUAGAUGAGGGUAAAAUUCAGGAUCAGGGCAGUGGGACAUGAAUGUAAAUUCUCUCAUUCCCACUCUUUGUACUUCCUCUUCGACAAAGACCUGCAUUUUUAUUGGCUUAUUCACAAGAAUCAUCAAUUCUCUCAACAGCAUGGCUAUAUGAAUGAGGUUUACAGACCAUAAUGCUACUAUAAUGCUGUUAUAUAGCAAGACUUGUUUUUCCUGUACAUUAGUGCUAUUCUUUCUAUCCUCUGGAUAUUUUUUUUUUUAAUCUUGUCACCCUAAAGUGAUUAUUCUUAUAUCUCAAAACCUUUGCAAAUGGUGAAAUACAAAUUUAUGGACACAAUGAGGUGUUGAUAGGGAAACUCAUAAAGAACCUCUUGUUUUUUUUCUCUUAUGAAUGUUACCAAUGUGUAUUAAAAUUAAAUCAGUGCACAAAGUUAGAAACAAAGGUAAAUCAACUGUCAGGAGUAGAAUUAGAAAGAAAAUAUUGAUAUUUGCAAUCUUCCUAAAUUUGUUAAUGAUUUUUAGGUAAUUGAAUGUUUUCCUAGUACUUUUCCAUAAUAAUGUUUAUGGUUAGAGAUUUCUGUGAUAGGAACUUGUGUAGAUGACACAUUUCAUAAUAUGUCACUGUUCCCAUAGGUAUGUAAAUGUAUGGGAGGCUUUAUAUAUAACUAACAUACACAUUUGUAGAUUCCUUAUAGAAUUAAGUUAUGCCUGAUUACUAAUACUGUGUUAUAUAGUGAUUAGAUAGUGUGUGUUUUUCAUUAAAAAUCUUUUACUAAAUUUUGAAGGAACUCAAUUCUCAUUAUUAUUAUUUUUUUUCUUCUUCCGUUUUUUUACCUUUUUUUCUUUCUUUCUUUAUCAUUAUGAAGUACAUCUGACCUGUACUAGACCAGAUUUUAUUUUCUUCUUUUUUCUUUGUUUUUACCUUUUUUUUUUUUCUUUCUUUCUUUAUCAUUAUGAAGUACAUCUGACCUGUACUUGACCAGAUUUUUUUCAGGGCUUAAUAGAUUAUGGUAAUGGUGGCGUAAACAUCAUCCUAUUAUAUGAUUAAGGUAUUAUAUUUAUUAUCAGUUUCCUUCAUUUUAGAUAUUGUGAUUUCAGUAAAUAUUUGGCUUGGUUGACAAUGAGUAUUGAAUUCAGUUUAUGUUGCAUACAAGGUGAAUUUUAUUUGAGAUAUUUACAUAUGCCAAAUUCAUCAUAAAAUCUGAAGUCACUUGCUAUCCAAUGCCUGGAAUUGUUUUCCUGUUUCUGAUCAUCCGUCAGAAUAUGACAAAUGUCUUUAUAAAGUUCCUAGUUCUUCCCUGUUUUUGUUACAGUUUUGCAUAUUAGAAUUUAUAGGGAAUAUCAAAACUUUAUUCAUAAUAUUCUAUCCACCUAUCAUUAAUUACGUUUGAUUAAAUGCACCUUAAAUUGUGUCAUAUGAGAAUAUCCCUUGAUGAAAUAGAGGAAGUUCAUAUACUUCUGCAUCUUGCAUACAUAAAGUAUGGUACUUAAGAUUAAUUAAACUAUUUUUCUUGAUCAGAGUACUUCACAAUUAGAUUUAAAAAAUAUUGCUUCUUAGGUUAAUCAAGAAAAAAGUAAAAUGUUUGUUUCCAGAGAAACCAGGAUUUAUUCCUCUUGCCUGCUCUUUUGUUCUCAUGGAUUCAGUCUUCUUUAAUUAUUGUUAUUUCAUAUUGAUAUAUUCAUGUUUUUCUUUUUCCUGGAAAAAGAGGCAUUUCUCAGAAGAAGCAACUAUUAUGGUAACUGCUUGUUUUCAUGAAUUGACAGAUUGCAGCUAUUCAUAGAUUUUACAUUUUAAGGUUUUGUCUUUGAGUAACUUUUCUUUGAUCUAAAAAAAAAAAAAAAAUGUUGAAAUUUGAAAAUUUAAACUAGGUAUUUUGGUUAAUGAUGAUUUAUCUUACACUAUUUAUGGUAAUAUUUGACUUAUAAUUCCAAUAUGCACUGUACGUAUGAGGUGUGUAUAGGGUGCCAGAAUGAAGCUAACUUGCUUUAAUGUUGAACUUUCACACUUGGAAAUAUCAUAUGAGGAAGCAAUUUCCACAUCCCAGAUUUUAAUUACCGUGUACAGACAGAUUCAUGAUAAGAAAACUAGAUCUUAUAGAGUUAGAAAUCAGUGUUCAGAAUAGAGCAUGAUUUGAGUGAUUAUACUGGUGUGAGAUGUAAAGCACUGAUAUUCCUUAGUUGAGCUUUUUUUUUAUAUAUUUAUAUUUUCUUUAAGGUAAUGACAGGUGGUUUGCUCAUGAAAACUAAUUUGCAUUUUGUUGAAAUAUGCACUUGUAUUUGUACUUAUGUGUUGUUGUUGUUCUUCUUCCCUUUGUGUCUUCCAUACGUUUCUUAUCCUUUAUGAAAUCAGUCGGAUUAUCAUAUUUUCAAGGAUACAGUAAUUUAAAUUCAGUAUUUCAUGCUCUUUGAAAUUGCUUGAUCUGUUCUACUUUCUUGAAUACAAUGUGAUUCUUUGACUCAGUACUCAGUAGUACUUACAGUGUAUAUAUAUGUAUAUAUAUAUGCAGCCUUCUUGUCCUCUGAUGAUUUCAGUUGUUAGUGUGGCAGAAAACCUUAUAAAAUCCAUCAGUCUGGCAUAUUGCAGUGUGUGCAGAAUAAGAAGAAAAUGUGUAUGUACAGCGAAUGAAGUGCCUUCUAUACUGUCUUCACCCUAGAACUCUCACAGAUGCUCUCGCUCACUCUCCCUCUCAUUCACUCAUUCACUCACUCACACUCAUGCACUCACACUCAUGCACUCAUUCACUCACACUCAUACUCUUGUACUCAUACUCUUGUACUCAUUCACUCACACUCAUGCACUCACUUACUCACACUUAUGCACUCACUCACUCACUCACUCACUCAUAAUCUUACUCUCUCAUAUUCACUAACUCUUUCAUAUCCACUCACUUUCACACUCACUCUCUCAUACACACACCCUCUCUCUUUCUCUCUUUCUUUCUCUCUCUCUCUCUUUCCUUCUUUCUUUAUUUCUUUCUUUCUCACAUUAUUACACUUACACCUACACUCGCUCUCACAUUCACACUCACACUCACAAUCACUCACACAUGCACAAAUAUGCAUAUAUAAUCAAAAGUGUUCAGUUUUCUUAUUAAAUGUUGUAAAUGGUUAAUACUUUAGAAAUAUGUCUUCUGUGUGUGUUUAUGAGUCUCUAGUUCUGUAAUUGUGCACAUAUACUUUUUUUUUUGCUUGUUACAUUUUCUUUUCUUUUAGAUAACAAACAUCUAAAUGCUGUAGAUAAUUAGUGGAAAGAAUAAUACAAUAGACAGUAAAUAUAUGACAAUAUAAAUGUUUAGGCAAUAGUCAUCUGUUCCAUGUUCCAAUAGUGCCAAUGGAAUUUAAAAUAUUUAUACAAUAGAUUUGGUAUAUUUGAGUACUGCAUGCUUUAUAUUCAUACAGAAUACGUACCGAGUGAUGCGAUUUGAUAUGCGGAGAAAUAUUUUUAUAUACUGGAACAUUACAAAAAAAAUAAUGAUACAACAGAGGAGCAGUGGCAUCCUUAUCUUCACAUGCGGAAAUUAACAUGAAAGACAUUGAUGAAUCUCACUGGCACUUCCUUAUUUUUCUUAUGGUGUAGUUUCUUCAUUUAACUCAAGUUGUAAAUGGUGUGAGGAUAAAUGUAUGCUGAAAAAUGUUGCAUAGUGUACUUGCUGCCUGGUUGAAAUAAUGAGAAUUUGUCAACCUAUUUGUUUUUUUGUUUGCAUAAUCAAAAGUACUGAAAUAGGGAUAUUGAAAGUAAAUAGGAUGACACAUAUAAUGAGGAUUACAUUUUAUCUUGGUAUUCAUUACUUACAUAUUGAAUCAGAAUAGUUAGGCUAUCCUCAUCAGAGUCACAUUGCAUGUUGCUAUAGAAUGAUUGAUUAAUUAGAGUAAAAUGGUGUGGAAGUACACUGAAGAAUAUAUUGAUAAACCAACCUGCCAGCACAAAUGUUAACGUCAUUCUACAACAAAAAAUGAAGUAAUUUUUCUGGAGACGUGUUUAUUGUAUGCAAUGCAGUUUGUUAACGUGCCAACCCAGUUUGUCCCCAUCAUAAGAUGUCAAAGGGACGAGAACUGAAGUGUUAUUUUACGUGAAUGACGUUGUUAAGGGAUCAUUGAAUUUGUUCCAAUCCAAGGGAACCAAGGUUACAUGUCUUCUUCAGUAAGAUACUCUUUCUCUGAUUCCAUCCACUUAUAGUUUGUAGUUUGCUAUAGUGGUAUUUUAUGAAAAUGUCUGCAAGAUGUGGACUCUUUCCUACUUAGUGUAUAGAAAUGCUUUUCUCUACAAAAUGUAGAUUUUAGGAAAUAAAAUUCUAUUUGCAUUUUUAAACAUGUAUGUAUUGUUUAAAUUAGUUGUUACAUUGUUAAUGAAAUAUUGUACAAGUAUAACAGUGAGGAAAAGAUAAUAAAGGUUACAACUACCUUCACUAUGGUAAUGUUGUUAUCAUAGAAGCAACAAGAAAUAAAAGAUUUUUUUUUAUUAACUUUGCAUGAUAUGUAAGUGCUCCAUCUCAAAAUAAACAUAUAAGAAAAUAUAUAAACAUUCAUAAACUUAUGGCAUUUUGAGCUCCUGUUACUUUAAUGGUGUUAAAAUUCUGAGUUAAAGAAAAGGUAAUAGACUACUACAUCCUUAUCUAUUAACCUAAGCUGCACCACAUUAAUCAAUGUUUAGCAGUAUGUCAGUCUUGUUUUGGGGGGAAAAAUAAAAGGGUAACUACUCACACUCUUCAAUGAAUUCAUUCAGAAUAUCCUUGUCCAUAUUACUAAUUUCUUGUUGCUAAGAUAAUGAUACAAUAUAACUUAUGAGUGACAUAAAUUGUAGCUUCCUAAAUAGGCUUAUUGUUAAACAAAAUACCUGGGUUGUUUUUAUGUUUAUAGAUAGGGACAGAUUUCAAUAAAUAUCUUAAACAUGA